GUACGCGGACGGCCGCGCCUCCCCAUUACAUUCAAUCCGGGACGACCCGA
rnacentral:ncRNA from 1 species